GACAGAGGAUGCAAGCGUUAUCCGGAAUGAUUGGGCGUAAAGCGUCUGUAGGUGGCUUUUUAAGUUCGCCGUCAAAUCCCAGGGCUCAACCCUGGACAGGUGGUGGAAACUACCAAGCUAGAGUACGGUAGGGGCAGAGGGAAUUUCCGGUGGAGCGAUGAAAUGCGUAGAGAUCGGAAGGAACACCCAAGGCGAAAGCACUCUGCUGGGCCGACACUGACACUGAGAGACGAAAGCUAGGGGAGCAAACGGG
rnacentral:rRNA from 1 species